rnacentral:piRNA from 1 species
UGAGAUGAGCCAGUUCAAAUCAGAUUA